rnacentral:rRNA from 1 species
UACGAAGGGUGCAAGCGUUACUCGGAAUUACUGGGCGUAAAGCGUGCGUAGGCGGUUUGUUAAGUCCGCUGUGAAAGCCCUGGGCUCAACCUGGGAAUUGCAGUGGAUACUGGCAAGCUAGAGUGCGGUAGAGGAUGGUGGAAUUCCUGGUGUAGCAGUGAAAUGCGUAGAUAUCAGGAGGAACACCGAUGGCGAAGGCAGGUCUCUGGGCUGACACUGACGCUCAUGCACGAAAGCGUGGGGAGCAAACAGG